rnacentral:rRNA from 1 species
UACGAAGGGGGCUAGCGUUGUCGGAAUUACUGGGCGUAAAGCGCGCGUAGGCGGCUUUGUAAGUUAGAGGUGAAAGCCCAGGGCUUAACCCCUGGAAUUGCCUUUAAGACUGCAUCGCUAGAAUCGUGGAGAGGUGAGUGGAAUUCCGAGUGUAGAGGUGAAAUUCGUAGAUAUUCGGAAGAACACCAGUGGCGAAGGCGACUCACUGGACACGUAUUGACGCUGAGGUGCGAAAAGCGUGGGGGAGCAAACAGG